UACGGAGGGGGCUAGCGUUGUUCGGAAUUACUGGGCGUAAAGCGCACGUAGGCGGCUUUGUAAGUUAGAGGUGAAAGCCCGGGGCUCAACUCCGGAAUUGACCUUUAAGACUGCAUCGCUAGAAUUGUGGAGAGGUAAGUGGAAUUCCGAGUGUAGAGGUGAAAUUCGUAGAUAUUCGCAAGAACACCAGUGGCGAAGGCGGCUCACUGGCCCGGUACUGACGCUGAGGUGGCGAAAGCGUGGG
rnacentral:rRNA from 1 species